rnacentral:rRNA from 1 species
AGAGUUUGAUCAUGGCUCAGAAUCAACGCUGGCGGCGUGCCUCAGACAUGCAAGUCGAACGAUUAAGACUCUCUUCGGAGAGUGUAUAAAGUGGCGCACGGGUGAGUAACACGUAGGUAAUGUACCGAAGGGUGGGGAAUAACUUAGGGAAACUUAAGCUAAUACCGCAUAAUGCAGCGGCUCGACAUCGAGACAGUUGUUAAAGGAGCAAUCCGCCUUUUGAGCAGCCUGCGGCAGAUUAGCUAGUUGGUAAGGUAAUGGCUUACCAAGGCUACGAUCUGUAACCGACCUGAGAGGGUGGUCGGUCACACUGACACUGAAUAACGGGUCAGACUCCUACGGGAGGCAGCAGUCGGGAAUUUUGGGCAAUGGGCGAAAGCCUGACCCAGCAACGCCGCGUGAAGGAUGAAGUAUUUCGGUAUGUAAACUUCGUAAGAAUAGGAAGAAUAAAUGACGGUACUAUUUGUAAGGUCCGGCUAACUACGUG